GCAGUCGUGGCCGAGUGGUUAAGGCGUUGGACUCGAAAUCCAAUGGGGUUUCCCCGCGUAGGUUCGAAUCCUACCGGCUGCG
rnacentral:tRNA from 3 species